AUGCAUAGAUCAAAACCAGAACCAAAAGAGAAGCAAAAAMCAGAAAUAAAAACAAAACUGUUAACUGAAAUAGAUAAAAUACAUAAAGAAGAUAUCAUCAUGGAAAGUCCUGAAAUACUAACUGUUGAAUAUGCCACAUCUUCUGCUUAUGAAAUGAAAACAGGAGAGGUACAUGAAACUUUAACAAAAGACUUGAAAGAAAUGAAAAAUGGCAUUCCAACCCAAACAAAAAAGCACCCUGAAGUUGAAAUAAGCAUUAAAAAACAAAAAGACCAGGAAUCAACAUUGAAGUUUACUGUACCAGAAGUACCAGCUAUAUCAACACAAAUAUCAAAACCCAAUUUAGAAACACCUGAUAUGAAAGAGAGCCCAGMUAAACAAACACCACAGCCCUCAUCAAAAUCCCCUAAAAAGAAACAGAAAGGAACAACAGACAAAAUAGAAGGAGAAAGUGAAAUUAACAUAGAAAUAAUGGAUCACACGGCACAAGGAUCAAUAAAAGUAAAAGGUCUAGAAAUAGGCACUGCUAAAGCAGAAUUACACACAACAGCUGACGCACUGGAAACAAGAGAAAAACAGGCAGAAGAUAAAACAAAAAUAUUAACACUUCAGAAAACAAAGUUUGGGAUUUCAAUGCCCAAAAGAGAAGAACCAGAAACUGAAAGCACUUUAACCAAAUCUGGACGUGAUGUUCSACAUUCGGUACCAGAAACAAGAGAUGACACAAGCAAGGAAGGAGGCAGAAAGUUGGAUGUGAAAACCGACAUGCCUGAUGCAGAAUCAGAAGUAUCUGCGUGGAAAAUACAAAUGUCAUCAUUCAAAAUGGCCAAAAUACCUAAAGAUGACAUAAAACUACCCAGAGAAGAGAGCACAGUCCAGUCAAUAGAUACUGUAAAAAAGGCACAGACAGAAGAAGAUGAUGUGCCUACAACUGAUAAAGACUCUAAGAUGGACAUUGAUAUGAAGGCAGGAGAAAAAGAUAUAGAGGGAAAAGAAAGCAAAUUCAGACUGCCAAAGUUCAAAUUUCCUACAUUUACUUGGGCAACGCUAAAGGACGAAACAGGGGAAACUGAGGAUCAGACGAGCCAUGGGGAAACAAAAGUACAUUCUCUAGCAGCAGAUGAAAAAACAGAUAUCAGCAUAACAAUAGGAGAGAUGCAGGCUCCAAGUGCUGAAAUUGAAAGAAGGAUAAUUGAAGAAAAUAUAAGUGAAAAAAAUAUAAGACACCUACCAGAAGUCCAAAUGCCAAGCUUGAAAACUAAAAAAAUAGCAACUUCAUCCACAGAGAAUCAGUGGGCAAAGWCAGAAGCAGAAAAAAAGCCUCCCAGACCAGAUACUGAAAUGAAAGACGGUGAAAUCUCUGUACCAUCCAAGGAAAGAGASGAUAUCAUUGAAAAUAUACUAGGUAAAGAUGAAGAGACAGGAAUAAAACUUCAAAAGAAAAAGGUCAAAAUGCCUAAAAUGGGUUUUUUUAAACACGAUGUAAAGGCACAAAAAGAAGAU
rnacentral:lncRNA from 1 species